AGUCGAGCGAACAGACGAGGAGCUUGCUCCUCUGACGUUAGCGGCGGACGGGUGAGUAACACGUGGAUAACCUACCUAUAAGACUGGGAUAACUUCGGGAAACCGGAGCUAAUACCGGAUAAUAUAUUGAACCGCAUGGUUCAAUAGUGAAAGACGGUUUUGCUGUCACUUAUAGAUGGAUCCGCGCUGCAUUAGCUAGUUGGUAAGGUAACGGCUUACCAAGGCAACGAUGCAUAGCCGACCUGAGAGGGUGAUCGGCCACACUGGAACUGAGACACGGUCCAGACUCCUACGGGAGGCAGCAGUAGGGAAUCUUCCGCAAUGGGCGAAAGCCUGACGGAGCAACGCCGCGUGAGUGAUGAAGGUCUUCGGAUCGUAAAACUCUGUUAUUAGGGAAGAACAUAUGUGUAAGUAACUGUGCACAUCUUGACGGUACCUAAUCAGAAAGCCACGGCUAACUACGUGCCAGCAGCCGCGGUAAUACGUAGGUGGCAAGCGUUAUCCGGAAUUAUUGGGCGUAAAGCGCGCGUAGGCGGUUUUUUAAGUCUGAUGUGAAAGCCCACGGCUCAACCGUGGAGGGUCAUUGGAAACUGGAAAACUUGAGUGCAGAAGAGGAAAGUGGAAUUCCAUGUGUAGCGGUGAAAUGCGCAGAGAUAUGGAGGAACACCAGUGGCGAAGGCGACUUUCUGGUCUGUAACUGACGCUGAUGUGCGAAAGCGUGGGGAUCAAACAGGAUUA
rnacentral:rRNA from 1 species